rfam:Xiphophorus maculatus strain JP 163 A Contig180.3, whole genome shotgun sequence.
AAAUAGGUUCCUUUUGGAGCCACACAUAAAAACAAAUACUCUAAA